GAUGAACGCUGGCGGCGUGCCUAAUACAUGCAAGUCGAGCGAACAGACGAGGAGCUUGCUCCUCUGACGUUAGCGGCGGACGGGUGAGUAACACGUGGAUAACCUACCUAUAAGACUGGGAUAACUUCGGGAAACCGGAGCUAAUACCGGAUAAUAUAUUGAACCGCAUGGUUCAAUAGUGAAAGACGGUUUUGCUGUCACUUAUAGAUGGAUCCGCGCCGCAUUAGCUAGUUGGUAAGGUAACGGCUUACCAAGGCAACGAUGCGUAGCCGACCUGAGAGGGUGAUCGGCCGCCCUGGAACUGAGACACGGUCCAGACUCCUACGGGAGGCAGCAGUAGGGAAUCUGCCGCAAUGGGCGAAAGCCUGACGGAGCAGCGCCGAGUGAGUGAUGAAGGUUUUCGGAUCGUAAAACUCUGUUAUUAGGGAAGAACAAAUGUGUAAGUAACUAUGCACGUCUUGACGGUACCUAAUCAGAAAGCCACGGCUAACUACGUG
rnacentral:rRNA from 1 species